rnacentral:rRNA from 1 species
UCAUGCUAUAGGAGCGGCCGAUGUCUGAUUAGCUAGUUGGUGGGGUAAAGGCCCACCAAGGCGACGAUCAGUAGCUGGUCUGAGAGGACGAUCAGCCACACUGGGACUGAGACACGGCCCAGACUCCUACGGGAGGCAGCAGUGGGGAAUUUUGGACAAUGGGGGCAACCCUGAUCCAGCAAUGCCGCGUGUGUGAAGAAGGCCUUCGGGUUGUAAAGCACUUUUGUCCGGAAAGAAAUCGCACUGGUUAAUACCUGGUGUGGAUGACGGUACCGGAAGAAUAAGGACCGGCUAACUACGUGCCAGCAGCCGCGGUAAUACGUAGGGUCCAAGCGUUAAUCGGAAUUACUGGGCGUAAAGCGUGCGCAGGCGGUUGUGCAAGACCGAUGUGAAAUCCCCGGGCUUAACCUGGGAAUUGCAUUGGUGACUGCACGGCUAGAGUGUGUCAGAGGGAGGUAGAAUUCCACGUGUAGCAGUGAAAUGCGUAGAGAUGUGGAGGAAUACCGAUGGCGAAGGCAGCCUCUGGGAUAACACUGACGCUCAUGCACGAAGCGUG